rnacentral:rRNA from 1 species
AUGAACGCUGGCGGCGUGCCUAAUACAUGCCAGUCGAGCGAACAGACGAGGAGCUUGCUCCUCUGACGUUAGCGGCGGACGGGUGAGUAACACGUGGAUAACCUACCUAUAAGACUGGGAUAACUUCGGGAAACCGGAGCUAAUACCGGAUAAUAUAUUGAACCGCAUGUUUCAAUAGUGAAAGACGGUUUUGCUGUCACUUAUAGAUGGAUCCGCGCCGCAUUAGCUAGUUGGUAAGGUAACGGCUUACCAAGGCAACGAUGCGUAGCCGACCUGAGAGGUGGAUCGGCCACACUGGAACUGAGACACGGUCCAGACUCCUACGGGAGGCAGCAGUAGGGAAUCUUCCGCAAUGGGCGAAAGCCUGACGGAGCAACGCCGCGUGAGUGAUGAAGGUCUUCGGAUCGUAAAACUCUGUUAUUAGGGAAGAACAAAUGUGUAAGUAACUAUGCACGUCUUGACGGUACCUAAUCAGAAAGCCACGGCUAACUACGUG